GACGAACGCUGGCGGCGUGCUUAACACAUGCCAGUCGAACGGAAAGGCCCUGCUUUUGUGGGGUGCUCGAGUGGCGAACGGGUGAGUAACACGUGAGUAACCUGCCCUUGACUUUGGGAUAACUUCAGGAAACUGGGGCUAAUACCGGAUAGGAGCUCCUGCUGCAUGGUGGGGGUUGGAAAGUUUCGGCGGUUGGGGAUGGACUCGCGGCUUAUCAGCUUGUUGGUGGGGUAGUGGCUUACCAAGGCUUUGACGGGUAGCCGGCCUGAGAGGGUGACCGGCCACAUUGGGACUGAGAUACGGCCCAGACUCCUACGGGAGGCAGCAGUGGGGAAUAUUGCACAAUGGGCGGAAGCCUGAUGCAGCAACGCCGCGUGCGGGAUGACGGCCUUCGGGUUGUAAACCGCUUUCGCCUGUGACGAUGCGUGAGUGACGGUAAUGGGUAAAGAAGCACCGGCUAACUACGUG
rnacentral:rRNA from 1 species